GACGAACGCUGGCGGCGUGCUUAACACAUGCAAGUCGAACGGAAAGGCCCUGCUUUUUUGGGGUGCUCGAGUGGCGAACGGGUGAGUAACACGUGAGUAACCUGCCCUUGACUUUGGGAUAACUUCAGGAAACUGGGGCUAAUACCGGAUAGGAGCUCCUGCUGCAUGGUGGGGGUUGGAAAGUUUCGGCGGUUGGGGAUGGACUCGCGGCUUUUCAGCUUGUUGGUGGGGUAGUGGCUUACCAAGGCUUUGACGGGUAGCCGGCCUGAGAGGGUGACCGGCCACACUGGGAAGGGGAAACGGCCCCGACUCCGACGGGAGGACGGAGUCGGGAAGACUGCAUAAGGGGCGGAAGCCUGAUGCAGCAACGUAGCGUGCGGGAUGACGGCCUGCGGGUUGUAAGCCGCGUUCGCCUGUGACGAAGAGUGAGUGACGGUAAUGGGUAAAGAGGCAACGGCUAACUACGUG
rnacentral:rRNA from 1 species